UGGGGAAUAUUGCACAAUGGGCGCAAGCCUGAUGCAGCCAUGCCGCGUGUGUGAAGAAGGCCUUCGGGUUGUAAAGCUCUUUCAGCGGGGAGGAAGGCGGUUAGGUUAAUAACCUUAUCAAUCGACGUUACCGACAGAAGAAGCACUGGCUAACUCUGUGCUAGCAUCCGCGGUAAUACGGUGGGUGCAAGCGUUAAUCGGAAUUACUGGGCGUAAAGCGCACGCAGGCGGUUGAUUGAGUCAGAGGUGAGAUCCCCGGGCUUAACCCGGGAAAUGCAUCUGAUACUGGUCAGCUAGAGUGUUGUAGAGGGGGGUAGAAUUCCAGGUGUGGCGGUGAAAAGCGUAGAGAUGUGGAGGAAUACCGGUGGCGAAGGCGGCCCCCUGGACAAAGACAAACGCACAGGUGCGAAAGCGUGGGGAGCAAACGGG
rnacentral:rRNA from 1 species